AAGGAGGGGCCGGGUGCUAAUAAUGCAAGUCGAACGCUUCUUUUUCCACCGGAGCUUGCUCCACCGGAAAAAGAGGAGAGGCGAACGGGUGAGUAACACGUGGGUAACCUGCCCAUCAGAAGGGGAUAACACUUGGAAACAGGUGCUAAUACCGUAUAACAAUCAAAACCGCAUGGUUUUGAUUUGAAAGGCGCUUUCGGGUGUCGCUGAUGGAUGGACCCGCGGUGCAUUAGCUAGUUGGUGAGGUAACGGCUCACCAAGGCCACGAUGCAUAGCCGACCUGAGAGGGUGAUCGGCCACAUUGGGACUGAGACACGGCCCAAACUCCUACGGGAGGCAGCAGUAGGGAAUCUUCGGCAAUGGACGAAAGUCUGACCGAGCAACGCCGCGUGAGUGAAGAAGGUUUUCGGAUCGUAAAACUCUGUUGUUAGAGAAGAACAAGGAUGAGAGUAACUGUUCAUCCCUUGACGGUAUCUAACCAGAAAGCCACGGCUAACUACGUGCCAGCAGCCGCGGUAAUACGUAGGUGGCAAGCGUUGUCCGGAUUUAUUGGGCGUAAAGCGAGCGCAGGCGGUUUCUUAAGUCUGAUGUGAAAGCCCCCGGCUCAACCGGGGAGGGUCAUUGGAAACUGGGAGACUUGAGUGCAGAAGAGGAGAGUGGAAUUCCAUGUGUAGCGGUGAAAUGCGUAGAUAUAUGGAGGAACACCAGUGGCGAAGGCGGCUCUCUGGUCUGUAACUGACGCUGAGGCUCGAAAGCGUGGGGAGCAAACAGGAUUAGAUACCCUGGUAGUCCACGCCGUAUACGAUGAGUGCUAAGUGUUGGAGGGUUUCCGCCCUUCAGUGCUGCAGCUAACGCAUUAAGCACUCCGCCUGGGGAGUACGACCGCAAGGUUGAAACUCAAAGGAAUUGACGGGGGCCCGCACAAGCGGUGGAGCAUGUGGUUUAAUUCGAAGCAACGCGAAGAACCUUACCAGGUCUUGACAUCCUUUGACCACUCUAGAGAUAGAGCUUCCCCUUCGGGGGCAAAGCGA
rnacentral:rRNA from 1 species